GAGUAUAGAACAGGUUGUUUGGCCUGCUUAGCCAAAGUUAGGCUAACUGUAGUUGCUGGGCCAUUCCUGUCUCUCUGUGAAACAUGAGGACAUGCUUGCUUGGGCUUCAAAGAAUGAGAUAAAGGGGGGGACCAUAUUCUUGUACCAAAUGUACUAAGAACGGUUUGUUUGGACAUAUGGAGACCUUGCAGUCUCCACUCCCUGUUUCUGUUCUUAACUCCCUACUUUCUCCUAGUUUCUAGUGCAUGACGAAAAAGCUGAUAAGAAGCUGCUGAGGAAUCAUGAACUGUUUGUACUGUCAAAGAACAUAGAUAUGCAUGAAUAUUAGAAGCUUUUAACUAGUAAAGGAGGAAAUUGGGUUGCUUUAACUAUGACGCGACGGAACUGUCUAUAUAAUCUCACUAGUUAUUGUAAUCGUGGCUGGGUCUCUCUGGAGACGGGCCGCUCUCUAUUGUUGUGUGCACUCUUCAAUAAAGAGCUUGUAUUGGACCUUGCUGGUGUUGCCUGUCUCUCACUCUGCGGUCAGACAACGAACCUUGCCGUCUGGGUUAAAAAGUCCCUGACAAAUUUGGCGACUCCGCCGGGACUCGUCUGACUCUCCGGUGCGGGAUCAGACUCCGAAGCAACGCAGCGCGCAUCCUCUGGCUUCGAGGAGCCUUGCCCGGUAACCUGAUCCCUGCAUCGGCGAUAAGGCGAGUUCUGUGAACCAGCUGAAGCCCGUAGAAACCCAGCAAUGUCCACCUACCCGUUGAGUAGGAUCCAGGUCUUCGGAGUUCGAGUCCCUGGGAAGGUCAGGUCUUUAGGGUUCGAGUCCCUGAAUAAGAUCACUGUGUGUUUAAAAGCAGAAGUUAGAAGUAAAAGGCAAUCAAAAGUCUAAAAAAGUUAAUUGUGUCCUUUUUUAAAGUAAAAAUCUUUAAGCUGUGGAUAGUUUUGGAUCUAGAAGCAAGCCAGAAAGCAUCUGUAUUAAUGCAAGUUUCUAACUAAUAAAGUAGAAGCCACUGAAAUCUGGGCUGCCUAUGAACAAAUACAAGGAAACAUUUUAAGCAAUGACUGACUGCCCAAAAGGGGUAGACCUCUGUUCUUUUGUUUUUCAGAUCAUCAGAGAAAACGGAUGCCAGCUGAACAGCAUUCAAUGUACCAUGCAUUUACUAGCACAAUAGGGAUUAUUUUUGUGUUUUAUGGCAAAAAUUGUUGUUAAGAGUUGCAUACCAACAGUCUUUAGAAGCAAGGACAUGGAAGGUUAACCCACUCCCCAUAUUGCCCAUGGGAUCCUUCUGGCUACCUCAGAUUUCUAGCCAGAGGGCUGGGGAGAAAAAAAAGCAAUUAGACACCUGAGGUUGUACCGAGUGCACUCCUCAAAAGUGGGUGUGCUUGUCCCGGUUUGUUGCUCCAAAGCUCUGUAAUAAAGUUAUUUUACUAGAAAAGUGAAAGUUUCCUUUGUAAGUUAAAAAAAGCCAAAAAAAAAAAAAAGAAAAAAGCACAAAAUAAGUUAACUAAGAAAAAAAUACAGCUUGCAGGCUCAUCCAAGGCCACAGCCAAAACUUGGCUGACCCCCAAGACAAGGGGGGGGCUUAAAUGUGCCCGAGCAACUAUGAGAUUUGCAAAACACUGCCAGGCAUUAAUAAAAUGUGUUAAGUUUCUUUUCUCACAGGUAAAAAAGUGCUACCCAAAGACCCUAGCACCCCUGCCAUUUAUUAAAACCAAAAGACUAAGUCUAUGUAAAGUCCAUCAACGAAAGACUGCUUUGGCUCCAUGCUGGAAAGGCUCUUUCCAAGUCCUGUUAACCACCAACACCGCUGUGAAGUGCCAAGGACUGCCUGCCUAGACCCAUGCUUUUCACUGCAAAAAGACCCCUCCACCUCGGGAGGACUCUUUGACUAAUGAUAAGCCUAUUUCUUCUUCUAGCCCUGCUGUGCCUUCUGGACAGCAAAAAAAAAAAAAAAAAAAAAACAAAGUGAAGUGCUAGUAACCUCUCCCUUGUCCACUGACAAACCUACUGUUGCUCUGAAUUUUUCCAGAAAAAGCAAAACCAUCACAGGGUGAUGUGCUAGUAACCUCUCCCCUGUAUAAUGCUAAACCACACUGUUUCAAGAAAUGAGAAGAAGGAACACUUGCUCCAUUGAAACCACCAAAGUCCAAGAAUUCCUGAUUACAAAAAAAAAUUAAAAACUGACCCUAGUAAAGAAACAAAAAAUUAUACACUGGCAAGAAAAAACUUGUAGGACCCAUGCUUAAGAAUGUGGUUUUAAUUGAAUUUUGGGGUUUAUUCUACAGGCUGCGCCCUGUGUUUUGAAUAAGUCCUUCAGCAUGUAUUGCCCUCCCUAAUUAAAUUUUAAAUGCAAAAAGGGCUGUAUUAAAUUAGCACAACAGAGGGCUUGAGUUAUUUCCUCUAGAAAGAAGAGAGACUUGACCAGAUCCCUAUGAGAUAGGGCCAAUAGUACAGCAGCAGUUUAAAAUAUUUUUAAAAAACCAAAAACAUAAUAAAAAAUUAAAGCAACUAAAGAAGGCCACAAGCCUUAUUUGUGGAGCACAGCUAACCCAAGUACAGGCUAAAAUUAGUGAGUUACAUGUUAUCUCCGUCCUUAGUUUUAUGACCCAGAAGUUGCUGACAGAGAUGGUAUUGAAUAUCACUGAAGCUGGGAAGGCAUUGCAGUGGGAUCUAACAUGUUCAGGCUUGGCCCACUGCCCUUACAGACACAUCAGGAGUACCAUCUGAUCUGUGGCCAUAAAGAAAUACUUGGAGACUUCCUGGUGGAAGUGCGGACAUUCUCAAUGCUCCUUCCAAGCAUAUAGACCGGUUAAGGAGAUGUGCGCUCCCACAUACCAAAUCCUGCCGAGUCCAUGAGAAAAAUGCAUGUGGAAUUAGGUAAUUCACCGAGACAUCUGGGAAAUUAGACUAACGCCGAUGCCCUGGUGGACUUAGCAACCGCACAAAGAAAACUAAGGCAGAUGGUUCUCCAGAACCACUUGGCUCUAGAUAUUUUACUGGCCUCUCAGAGAAAAACAUGUGCAUUAAUUAGACAAGAAUGCUGUGUGUAUGUCCCAGACGUUUAUAAUGCCACUUAAAAAAGAGCAAACCACCUUAUAAAAGUAGCAAAAGACCACGAAAGAAAGCGAAUUGAAUCCUGGUGGAGUAACCUGUUCAAUUAAAUUCCAGAUAUAAGUGGUUGGCUCCAUAAUGUACUCCGAAGCGCCGUUGUAAUUAUAUGCGGCUUACUAGCCUUGUAUGUUAUAAUAAAAGUUGAACGUUGGAUAGGCGCCAAGGUGUGUUCUGCCCAAAAGUAACCAACCCCAAUCUUUCUGCUCAGUAGUUGUCCCAGGAGUCCCUUCGAGGUACUCCAGGGACAAAGGGGGGACUGUUAGGUCCAAAAAAAAUGGAGUAUAGAACAGGUUGUUUGGCCUGCUUAGCCAAAGUUAGGCUAACUGUAGUUGCUGGGCCAUUCCUGUCUCUCUGUGAAACAUGAGGACAUGCUUGCUUGGGCUUCAAAGAAUGAGAUAAAGGGGGGGACCAUAUUCUUGUACCAAAUGUACUAAGAACGGUUUGUUUGGACAUAUGGAGACCUUGCAGUCUCCACUCCCUGUUUCUGUUCUUAACUCCCUACUUUCUCCUAGUUUCUAGUGCAUAACGAAAAAGCUAAUAAGAAGCUGCUGAGAAAUCAUGAACUGUUUGUACUGUCAAAGAACAUAAAUAUGCAUGAAUAUUAGAAGCUUUUAACUAGUAAAGGAAAAAAUUGAGUUGCUUUAACUAUGACGCGACGGAACUGUCUAUAUAAUCUCACUAGUUAUUGUAAUCGUGGCUGGGUCUCUCUGGAGACGGGCCGCUCUCUAUUGUUGUGUGCACUCUUCAAUAAAGAGCUUGUAUUGGACCUUG